rnacentral:rRNA from 1 species
GAUGAACGCUAGCUACAGGCUUAACACAUGCAAGUCGAGGGGUAACGAGAGGGAAGCUUGCUUUCCUUGUCGACGACCGGCGCACGGGUGAGUAACGCGUAUCCAACCUGCCCCCAACUAGGGAAUAACCUAGCGAAAGUAAGACUAAUACCCUAUAAUUUCCUCAGCUGUCAUCUGACGAGGAAUAAAGAUUUAUCGGUUGUGGAUGGGGAUGCGUCUGAUUAGCUUGUUGGCGGGGUAAUGGCCCACCAAGGCAACGGUCAGUAGGGGUUCUGAGAGGAAGGUCCCCCACAUUGGAACUGAGACACGGUCCAAACUCCUACGGGAGGCAGCAGUGAGGAAUAUUGUUCAAUGGGCGGAAGCCUGAACCAGCCAAGUAGCGUGCAGGAUGACGGCCCUAUGGGUUGUAAACUGCUUUUAUACAGGAAUAAAGUUAGCCACGUGUGGUUAUUUGUAGGUACUGUAUGAAUAAGGACCGGCUAAUUCCGUGCCAGCCGCCGCCGUAA